rnacentral:rRNA from 1 species
CGAGCCGCAACCCCUACUCUUUAGUUUGUCCAUCAUUGAGUUGGGCACUCUAAAGAGACUGCCGGUGUCAAACCGGAGGAAGGUGGGGAUGACGUCAAGUCCUCAUGGCCUUUAUGACCAGGGCUACACACGUACUACAAUGGCCGGUACAAAGGGCAGCGACACAGCGAUGUGAAGCGAAUCCCGAAAAGCCGGUCUCAGUCCGGAUUGGAGUCUGCAACUCGACUCCAUGAAGUUGGAAUCGCUAGUAAUCGCGGAUCAGCACGCCGCGGUGAAUACGUUCCCGGGCCUU